rnacentral:tRNA from 1 species
GCCUGUGGCACAAUUGGUUAGCGCGUUCGGCUGUUAACCGAAAGGUUGGUGGUUCGAGCCCACCCAAGGGCG